UACGGAGGGGGCUAGCGUUGUUCGGAAUUACUGGGCGUAAAGCGCACGUAGGCGGCUUUGUAAGUCAGAGGUGAAAGCCCGGGGCUCAACCCCGGAUGUGCCUUUGAGACUGCAUCGCUUGAACACGGGAGAGGUGAGUGGAAUUCCGAGUGUAGAGGUGAAAUUCGUAGAUAUUCGGAAGAACACCGGUGGCGAAAGGCGGCUCACUGGCUCAUUACUGACGCUCAGGCGCGAUAGCGUGGGGAGUCAAACAGG
rnacentral:rRNA from 1 species